rnacentral:lncRNA from 1 species
CUCACCAAGGAGAAGCAAGAAAAAGGAAGAACAAAACUCUAGGUGGAAAAAUUCAAGGGAAAAGUGUGAAAAUUCAAUGAAACAAGUGAAAAAGGUAAGAUUUUUUCAAUUAAGCUUGAGAUCUCUCUUUCUUAAGCAUUUUUUCUUAGUUUCCAUGGUUGAAUCACAUGAAAUCAUGAUGAAUCCCUUGCUGGCCGAACACUUAGAGGGAGGUUUUGAUGCUUGAUUUGGUUAGAUUUCAAUGUAUUUUAGUGUUUUUAGUUAGUUAGUGAUGUGUAGCAUGAAAAUCAAGCAAGAAAAAUUCAUGUUCUUCCAUAACCCUCAUUGGCCGAAUUCUCCAUGUGGAAUAUUGAUGAUGGUUUUGAUUUUAUUUCAAGUGAAUUGGUUAGGAAAUGAUGAAUUACGGUGAGAAAAUCAAGUAGCAAAAAGCAUAGUAUUGAUGCACCCACCAUGGCCGAAAUUCCCAAGAGAAAAUGUGAAGAUGAUUUUGCUAAAUUUUAUGCUAUUUGACUUGUGUUUGAUGGUUUGGAGAAUUGGAAGAAAAAUGGAAUUAAUUGGAGUUAAAUUGGACAUAUUGGCUAAUUAAUCGGGUGAUAGAUCGAAUUAGGCCAAUACCAUUUUAUUUAGGUACAUAAUUGAAUUUAUAUUGAACACCGUAUUAGAUAGUUACCUGAGUAUUUUACAUCCCAUUUCAUGCAUUAGUAUAAAGCCUGAAUUGGUUUUACAGCGGUUUAGCACAAAUGUAGUAAAUAGCUUUUUGUGCAUUAUGUCUAGGUGGUGAGCUUUCUAGCAAAAGUAAAGAGAUAGUACUCGAUGAUAAAAAAUCGGAGUACUCGAAAUUCGACUCCCGAAAUAGUGAGUAACCUUAUUAUCAUCUUAAUUAUCUAAAGUAGUUUUUAUUCGUUUUUGUGAUUUGAUAGAAAAAUGAGUUUAAAUGAUAAAUCUUUAUGUUUUAUAAGCAAAAUGUGAUUAAAUGAAAUGAUUUUAUAAAAUUAUCUUGAAAUUGAAAUAUGGUUUUGAAAAUGGAGUAAUUGGAGACUAAUUGUUGUGUUAUAAAUCAUGGUUUGAAUUGAAUGGCUUAUGAUAAUAUUGGCAUGAAUGGUUGAAUUAGUAAAUGUGCUGAAAAUGUAUAAACUGUUGUUUGCCUUGAUAGGCUGGAAAAUGAUAAAACUGCCAUGUCAUGCUGUUGAAAUUUUAUUGUAUGGUGGGUUUAGCUUGCUGCAGUGGGCGAGUUCUAUGGACCAACCUUUUUGAGGGGCACGAAAUCCCGUUAUAUUCAUACCUCAGUUGGGGAGGAGCGUAGGGUAACUCUCGAGGUAAAACUUUAGAAUUCACUUCAUGCCAAACCACCACGUGAGGGUGAACUCAACCAACGCCAAGGAACGGCUAUGUUUUCAAAAUAAAAACAUGAUUUAUGCGUACAUGACUUUUUAACAACCUUGGCGGACUCAGUUGGGAUAGUCCCGGGCCAAGGUAUCCCUGAUAACUGAGUAUGAGAAUGAUUUUGGCAUGAGCCAAACUUUUCAGGAAAUCAUAAGCCUCGUUAUUUAUUUGGGUGAAAUGAAUAUAUUUUAUCUUAUUCAAAUGAGUUCGAAAUACUGUGAAUCAUUUUUAUGCUAAUCUAUUUUAUCUGUCUCCAUUUACUUAGCUUUAGAUAUUUUAGAUGGUAUUUGUUUACUCACUAGGAUUAUAUAAUCUCACCACCCUCCUUUUCACCCAUUUCAGGCUCAAGAUAGUCGGUAGAUAGCUCAUUUCGUUGAAGGCUACAAUUGGACUUGCAUCCUCAAAAACUGUAGGUUCAUAGCCUUCAUUACUUUUAGUCAUUCGGGGGCCCACAUGUCAUUGUUAAAUGUUUUGAAUACUUGGCUACGUGUGCUACUGUAUGUAGGAAUUUAUUUUGCUUUGACACUGUAAAAAUUAUUUACGUAAUGUUCUAUAAAAAUUAUUUUAUGAAAAAUUGGAAUAUUUUAUUUGUUAUUUUUAUUUUUUUCCAUUAGCUAUAAUUUCACUUUAAAUGAAUGUAUUAGAUAUCUAAACUUAUUUUCGGUUAUGAAAUGUGUAAAUUUCUCUCAUAUACUACAUUUUAG